CUUCUCAAAAGUACAUUGGAAAGUGGAAGUUGAGUGAAGUAGCUUUAGGUAAUAGGAAGCAGUCAUUUCCACCAGGAAGGGAAGCAGAGCAGCUGAGUCACCUGUGUUGCUAUUGAGCCCCCCCAAGCCUGUCAGAGGCUGCCUGCAGGGGGUUGAAGUUCAGGAAAUCAGUCCAAAUUUCAUGUGGAACAAUUUUAAUGAUUCUAGAUGCAGAGCUCCUCUGAGGGGACAGAUUUUCCUACUGAGUAAGUUGAUACCAGAAAUAAGCAGUUGCCUGAGGACAUGUAUUUUUAAGGCAAAAUCUUGACUAUUUUUAAUGAACGUAAGAACCCAGGGAGCUAACAUUACAUGUCACAAUCUCUGAGCACUGAUCGAUGUUCUUCUUAAUCCUGUAGAAUUUCUCCACAUAUUCAGAGCGGCCUAAGAGCUCUACAAAAUCUUCAUCGUGAGUGAUGACCAGAAGCUGGAAGUUACGCUGCUGUGAGCGACUCUUAAUUAUCCUGAAACAGUAUAUUCAGAACAUUUUAUUACUGGAAAGCUUAAAUAGUCCUUUCCUUUUAUAUGAAAAAGCCACUGAGAACCUUGUCACAGUGGAUGACACCAUGUGUGCUGUGAUGACCAGGGCCCCUGCCAGCCAUGCAGGAAGCUGGAGAGCCUGGGGUGGCCUGAGGCCUUCAGUCCAGCUGGGUAGGAGCCCCCAUCUCCUCUCCAGACAGUGCAGGUGCCCACAGUUGACUCUUCACCUAGGUCUGACUCAGGCACUGAUAAGAAUACAUGAUCUAGUUUCUUCCAGAACACAAAGUUGUUACUAAAGCAGGUAGAAAUGUUUUACCUAAUUUUCUUUAAUAUCUGUGGUGUUCAACUUUAGGAGUCUGACUUAUUCCUUUGUCUGGGGUUUUUGUGUUUUGUGACCUGUUACUAAUUCUCUCUGGAAGAAGAAGAAAAAAAAGACCAACUACAGGCAAGGGAAAUUACAUUUGCAAGUCCCACUACCUUCUUGGGAGCUGAGUCUACUUAGAAUUCUGCCACCACCAGUUACCAGAUGCAUCAUUAGUAUGACACACAGGAGACCUGAGUGGGUGUACUGGGAACAUUUUUGCUCAUUAUCUAUAUGCUGAGGUAACUACCUAAGAGACUGAAAUCAAACUUUUUCUUUUAACUACUCAUUUAUUUAUCCCUUGCCUACAGCUGGAUGCACUUAGCUUUCAAAAGUAGUUGACCUUGUGUGAUGGGCACACAAGACUACCAAGAGAUGGCUGAGAAAGGGGCCCCAUCCCUUCAUCUCUGCCAGAAAGAAUGUGUCUGGAGCCAGAGUACCCAAAACAGCUUCUCUAGCUUGGAAAAAGUGCCUUUUCUUUGCCAGCACAGUCUUUCAACUGCUGUCCAUCCCUGGAGCCUGUACCAAGGGCAUGUGAAUGUGGCAAAGGUGUGUGCAAUUUUACUUUCUAGAUUCUACUUAACCACUAUUCCACUUUUUGAAUAAGAGCUGUCAUUUCUCAUAAAGCUGGGGAGAUGGGCAAAAUCCACUAUUACCACCUACAAAUGUUUUAGCAGGGCAGCUAAGGCCUCUACAUGAUGUGUGGGCAUUGCUGGUGCAUUUACAGAAAAACCAAACCAAGCCAGGAAACCCUUCAGUUUCCCUAUGAACACACUCGGGGAGAUGCAGGAUGUGUCUGGGACUGCUGUUCACCACCUAGUUCUUUUUUAAGUAUCUGAAGAAUUACUAUCAAAGGUCUGGCACCAACCAGUUUUCCCACAGAACACCCAUCCAGAGAGGGUUUUCACCGUAAUUUUUAAAGUAAGGUAAAGAGUUCUAUCAUAACCUGCCCCCAAACCAGAGAUUCUUACUCAACAAGAGCAUGUGCAAGAGACUCAAUGUUUUCUCGGUCAAGAUUUGUUGUUGGCUCAUCCAAGGCAAGGAUGCCACAGUUCAAGCAGAAUGUUUCAGCCAACGCCAGACGAAUGAUGAGUGAGGCCAGUACCUGGAAUAAAGCACCAGAGCUGAGUUGUGCAUUGACCUUUUUCUCAUUCACUUUAGGAAAACAGGCAGACCUGGCCUAAUGUCUUUAUAAGGGAAAGGAUCAAUGUCACGAGGUCACUGACUUUAGGCAAAUCAUUGCUCUUUUAUAUGGGAGAGUCUGGCACUGUGAUCAGACUCUUAAACCCUUCCAGAAGGUGAGCCAUCAGGUAUAUUAUCUCAGCCUAUCGUGCAGUGAAAUAAGAUGCUAAAAGCAAUGGUGAUUUUACUACCCCCAAAUACACACAAAUCAUGUCAGCUAUAAUGAAACUUGAGAGCACACGUUUGAAUCGGAAAUGCAUUACUUUUACUCAAAGUAUAAGAUUAACAACCUUAAAAAAUUCAAGUCCUAUUUUACUUUCCUGAUAAUGAUAUUUGUUAGAAAACGUAGACACGUUACAUCUUCCAGAGUCCCACACACACUUUUCCUCUGUGAGUUAUCUUUCAAUCUCUAUGUUCUAUGGUGCAAAAGGGGCACCAGGUACUGUGGUGUUAUUUACCUAGACUUAAGUGUAAGCCAAGAGAGAGAGAAAGAAUAGUCCUGGAUCAAUUUACCAGGAGUGUAGGAGUAUGGUUUUAUUUAAGCUUACCUACAGGACAUCCAAGGAACUGACACUUUGAGGUACUUUCUUGGUUAAUUAAAAACCUAAUGCUAAAACUCUCAGAUGCAGCUGAAGCCAUCUGAGGUAUAAGGGGCACAGAAUCAAGAGUGACAGAAUAGUCUAGAAAGUAGAAACUACUUUUGCGUGAGCCGUCAAUAUCUCCUUCCACCAGUCUGUGAGCAAAGGAGCAUCAGUGAGUGGAGUUAGUGAUUUCAGGGCAGUUUAGAGCUUCUCUCUGAUACCCAGGGCAGACUGGCAGACUGAAGCCAGGAUCAUAGCUUGGCCCUUUGGGGAAGACACCUUUUUCCUGUAUUUGAACCCUACUGCAGCUGCCUCUUUCACCACCAUGUACUCAGAGUAGAGUCUAAAUGAAGUUCCUGGCCAACUUCUUUUUUUUUUUCCUGGCCAACUUCUAACAAACUAUUUGUCUUCUCCCCCAACACCAAAGAAGCAAUUAAUACUAAUUUUUAUAAUUUAGAGUGUCUAUGGGAAAUCUACUUUGUUCAGAAAAUAAUUUUCAAAAGUAUUUUUAAUCCAAAGGGACAUGUUUCAAACUCUAUUUUCUUAUUCAUUACCACUGAAAAUCACCAAAGCAAGUAGGAAUACUGAUUAUAGAUCAUAAAUUUGUCAUUUUUGCAAAAUAUGAUUAAGAUAAUAAUCUGCAUGUGCCUUAAAUUGGUAUCUGCCAUCUGGGCUGACAACAAAAUACAUACACGCAGGAUUGUCUUUAAGCAAAAAUUGAAAAUUAUGAAAUACCUCAGAUAAUGUGAGCAGCCAUUUCUAGAAUCUUAAGAUUUUGUUAAGAAACCCAGGAGUUCAGAAAUGUUAUCAAAUAUAAUCCGCUUCUAAUCUGAAAAGAGGAAGCUCAAGAAUCUAAGCCACCAUGGUUACAAACCUGUGCACAAAGGACCCAGCUUUGUUUCCAAAGACACAGACCAAUUUUCCUGACUCUUUAUUUAAAGCUUUACUCCUCUUUCUGAUUUGCUCUGUGCUCCCUAUCCAACAUAGCCUGUUCUGCCAGCCUCGUGUGGAGCUAAGUAGCCUGGCUCAGUAGCUGAGGGGUGUGUCAGGGUGUAUGUGGUACACGCACAGAGGGGAGAGGCAGCUGUAUGUGUCAUGGCUUCUGGUCUAGCAGAACCUUCUUUUAACAUUUUUAAGCAAUCUUUACACAUGAUGUGGGGCUCAAACACAACUCCAAGAUCAAGAGUGCACAUUCUACCAAAUGAGCCAGCCAGGUUCCCUUAGAGGAUCCUUCUUUCAGAGGGUGUGCAGGCCAGACCCAUUGGCUAGGCCGAUGGCAGAGGUUGGCAGGGACUCAGUCUCAUGAUGGGGCAGCUUUCUCAAUGAGAAUUUUACAUUUUAGUGCCUCACCUGGCUCAGCCUAGGAUCUGACUUAGUAAUACUGCAGGUCACUCAGUCUAUCAUCCCACCCCACCUUUGAUUGUUCUGAAAUCAGAAUGCACUCUUGCAAUUAGUUGCAUUUUUUUCUUUCUUGGUGACACAUAAAAUAGUGUUAUGUCUUAGAACUGAUGACACAUUAACUUUAUUCCUGUAAGGAGUAAUAUGAUAUAAUGGUCACAAGCUGCAUGUUCUGUGUUUGGCCUGUCACGUGAGAAUGUUUCCGACCUUUCUCCUAAAGGACCAUCUAUGUUGCAGGAAAUGCUGAUUAGAACUAGAAGAGUGUAACGGGAUAGCUGAUCUGAUCAACUUGAUGCGGCAACAAAGAGCGCUGUGAGGAGCUUCUCAGCAUUCACAGGCAGCCCUAGUUGCUUUCACUGCACUGACAGCAGUUUCUUCCCGUCAAUUCACUGUGCACAGGUUACUCCCUAGGCUUUCGAGAUACCUGCCUUUUGUCCAGCACUGCAUCGUCCUCUCAUAUCCAAGGCUGUGUCUCCUUUUAGCAUCACCACGCGGUAGUUAUAAUUCCGCCUUUUAUCAGAAGCGGAUACAUUUUCAUCGGCAUCAGACCGAAUUUCUAUGUAUUCAAUAUCUAACAUACAAAAAAGAAGAUUUCAGAGAAACCUACAUUCUGUAGCUUCUUGUCACUUGCAAAUAUCAAGUAAGCCCCCAUGAAACAACGUGUGAAGCUGACAUUACCAUUCAAACUGGCUGAGAUGGUUCAUGAGGCAAAAGCAACCCCAGAUGCCCCAACCUUCAGUCUCCACUCUGCCUUUCUUAGUUCCCCUAUUAAGAGUUUCCUCCUGCUGGUUUUCUUCUUAUCGCCUUUCAGCUUAUCCAUAUCUAUGCUUCAACAGAAUCUAUUAGGUCAUCAGUUAAAUAUAAUAUGUACAUAGCCAAAUAUGUAAGUCCUGUCAGGCUUUGGAAUAGAAAACUUUGCAUUUUUUUUUUCUUGCUACAAGAUGUCGUCAAGAUAAGAAUUCUUAGAAAAUCUCCAAGAGAUGUUUAGAAAGGGGUCUAGGAGGUAAUGCUGGCAUGAUGAGAGAUCCUAUGUGCCAAGAACUAGGGACGGGGCUUUGGAAAAAGCAUUCACAACAAACCAUGUCAAUUACCUUGUCCACGAUAGGUACUUCGCCAAAGGUCACGUAUAAUUUUGUUGAUUUCCUCCAUUUUCAUACUGUGAAAUUUCAUGAUUGCUCUGGAAGAAGAAGCCAUUGAUACUUAAAAGUGAUGGCAAGAAUGGUGGCUAUGAGGUGAACCCUGAUCAAGCCCUCAUCCCUAAGUUCUCCUCCAGUACCAGGAGCCGGGUCUGACAGACUCAGAGCUGGAUGCCUCAGCUGCAAAACUAUAAAAGUUAAGUGUUUCCAGUGAGUUUCAGAAGAAAUGUGACUUAACAGGCAACAUUCUGUAUUUGGGGGAAAAUAAUAGUGGAAAACCUGGGGCACAGGAUAGAACAUAGUACUGAAUGAUUUAUUCCAAAAAUCACUUAAUUGAUGCCUUCUUUUUAAAGCAGUAAGAGGUAGUAUAUUCUAAAUGAUGUAGUUUCCCCCCAUUCUCAUAUAGUGUUAGUGUCUCUGACCACUGGCAAGCUUAUAAUCAGUGAUGUUUUUAGAUGAUUACUAAUAACAGAUGGUAAUCAGCUUUUCUUGAAAAUGCACUGCUAAUUUCCUGUGUUACCCUAAAUAGACAGCUGAAUGCAACAAUUACACUGAUUGCAUGCUUCAUUCUAAGAGGUGAAACAAUAAGGGAAAUUUUGGACCUUUCUUCUAGGUGAGAAGGCAAAUUAAAGGCUCACAACAUGAACCUUACGAAGGCCACUAUUUGCCAGCAUAAGCCCACAAAGACUCAAUUUUGGGGAAAUCUGUACCACUUUUCUUCUCAUUUAGAAAAAUCCAUUUGAUUAGCAGAUAACAGAACACAGUAAACAGCCUGUCUUUGUUCCUUAGGCAAGCCUAAAUUGCUGGAAAGCACCUCUGCACCUCCCCACCCCCACAAGCUCCUCCUCACUGGCCCCAUCAAGCCCACUCUGCUCAGUGUGAUGGAUCUGGCACUAAGAUUCUUGAAAUACUUUCUUCACUCAGUUUUCAAGAUACCACACCUUUUACGUGUUUCUCCUACUUCAACUUCAGAAACAUCUUGAGUCAUGGAACCCUUCUCUUCUUUAAGUCAUGUCACACAGUAUCACUCUUGUGGCUUUAAAUACUACAUCUAUGUUGAUGAUUCUCAAAUUUAUACCUUUCCUCAACUCCAGACUCUAGGUUACACAUCCAGCUGCUUCAGGUGCCUACAAGUGCCUUACACUUAAACUGUCUAAAACAAAACUGUUGCUCAAGUAAAAAUAUGUAGGAGCAAUCUUUGAUUCUCUUCUUUCCUUUUCCUCCCCUAUAUUCAAUUCAGCAGCAAGGUCAGUUAAUUUCAUAUACCAAACAAACUUGAGUCCAUCCACUUCUCUUCAUUUCCACUGCUACCUCCCUAGUCUAGUCCACCACUAUUUCUUGGAUUAUUACAACAGUCUCCUCACUGGUCUCCUCACUACCUUUGCUCCACUAUGAUCCAUUCUCCAAACAGAAGCCAGGGUAGUUUCUUUUCUUUUCUUUUCUUUUCUUUUUUAAAGAUUUAUUUAUAUGAGAGAGAGAC